CAGCCGCCGCGGUAAUGCGAAGGGUGCAAGCGUUAAUCGGAAUUACUGGGCGUAAAGCGUACGCAGGCGGUCUGUCAAGUCAGAUGUGAAAUCCCCGGGCUUAACCUGGGAACUGCAUUUGAAACUGGCAGGCUAGAGUCUUGUAGAGGGGGGUAGAAUUCCAGGUGUAGCGGUGAAAUGCGUAGAGAUCUGGAGGAAUACCGGUGGCGAAGGCGGCCCCCUGGACAAAGACUGACGCUCAGGUGCGAAAGCGUGGGGAGCAAACAGGAUUAGAUACCCCAGUAGUCCCUGUCUCUUAUAC
rnacentral:rRNA from 1 species